rnacentral:rRNA from 1 species
UGCAAGUCGAACGCGUGGUUCGAGUUCGCUCGGGGUCGCGAGUGGCGCACGGGUGAGUAACGCGUGGUAACCUGCCCAGCAGUACGGAAUAACCCACGGAAACUUCAGCUAAUACCGCAUACGCCCCCGGACUUACCUCCNGGGGGAAAGAUUUAUCGCUGUUGGAUGGGCCCGCGUCGGAUUAGCUAGUUGGUGGGGUAACUGGCCUACCAAGGCAGUGAUCCAGUAGUUUGGUCUGACAGGAUGAUCAGCCACACUGGGACUGACACACGGCCCAGACUCCUACGGGAGGCAGCAGUGGGGAAUAUUGAACAAUGGGCGCACGCCUGAUCCAACAAUGCCUGGUGAGUGAGGAAGGCCUUACGGUUGUAAAGCUCUUUCACCCGCGUACGAUGAUGACGGUAUCGGGAUAAAAAGCCCCGGCUAACUUCGUGCCAUCAGCCUCGGUAAUACGAAGGGGGCGAGCGUUGUUCGGAUUUACUGAUCGUAAAGGGCGCGCAGGCGGCGGACCAAAUCAGGGCUGAAAGCCCCGGGCUUAACCUGGGAGGUGCGUCUGGGACUGGUUUGCUAGAGUUCGGGAGAGGAGCGUGGAAUUCCUGUGUUGAGGUGAAAUUCGUAGAUAUUGGGAAGAACGCCAUGUGGCGAUGCGUCGCUCUGGACCGAUACUGACGCUGAUGACGAAAGCUUGUUGAGCAUAAGGAUUAAAUACCCUGGUAGUCCACGCUGUAAAUAUGUGUGCUACCGUUGGGGAGCCUUGCUCUUUCGUGUCUG